UUGCUGGGCGCCGGGUCCGGCCCUCCCCAGCCGUGCCCCCGAGUGCCGCAUCCCCACGGCUUUUGUAUCCCUGCAGGGGUGCGGGCUCCACCACUGCCCUGGGUGAAAACCCUGGUGGGGCCGUUUUCUCAGGAUCCGAGCUGAACCUCCCUGGCGCAGCUUGAGGGACCCAAGCCCUCCUCCCUCACAACUACUUCAGAUACCACUGCCUCGCUAAAACAUUCCGUUUUCUAUGUGCGUCUGAUGAGCCUCAGCUCGGUGGCUGGGCAGAGCAUGGAAGGGAUUUCCUGGAAGCUGUGCUGGGGCACUCCUGGAGGACAGGGAGGUGAUUUGGGACAGCCACGGCUCCAUCAAGGCCAAGUCCUGCUUGAUCAACCUUCUGUGAUGGAGUGGCCACAUGGAGUGGAAAAGGGAAGGUGUGUGGAUGUCACCUGUCUGGGCUUCUAUAAAGCCUUCAGCACAGUCCCACACAACAUCCUUCUGUCUGGAGAUGGAUUUUAUGGAUGGGCAGUUUGGUGAACAAGGAAUUGGCUGGAUGGUCACAUCCACAGUGCAGUGAUUGACUCAGUGUCCACAUGGAGAUCAGUGAUGUGUCCCUCAGGUCUGUUUGUGAUUUAAAGUCUUCAUCAAAGACAUGAACAGGGGGAUCAGGUGCACCCUAAGCAGAUUUGCAGGUAACUCCAAGCUGGGUGGUGUGGCUGACAUGCCUGAGGGAUGGGAUUCCAGCCAGGCUGGACUGGGCUCUGAACAACCUGAUCUAGGUGAGGAUAUUCCUGUGCACUGCACUGGGGCUGGGCUAGCUCACCUUCAAAGGUCCCUUCCAACCCAAACCAAGUAAGUCAAACUAAUUAAGCUUGAACAAAAUUAUUCCAAAAAAUUGCAAAAAGCUUGAAAUUUUAGAAUCCUAAAAUGACAGCUUUGUAUUACCAGCAAAGUGUAUCCAGCCUGCUUUUGUAGUGCUCCUUUAUAGAAUCUCAGGAUUUAUUAGGCCAUUACUAAUGAAAACUGAGGUAGGCAAGAGGGACUUCACCUCUUGCAUCCAUCCCUUCCUAAGGAUCAGAAACAGCUGAGAAUUUCACUAAACACUAACACUACUCUCUGCUGGGGAUGAUAAAUGCCCAGUGAUGCAGUGCAUAAUUUGUGGGUGUUUAUCCCUGUUAAUGGGGUCAACAGCUCUGAAUUUAAGCAUUUCCUUAAACUUCCUAUUCAAGGCACAGGACAAUUGUCUAUAUUUUUAUACCUAACUCAAAGCAGCAAAUAAAUGCACCUUUCCAGUGGGAUUGAAUAUCCAGGAACCUCUGCCAUUGCUGGGAUGGGAUUUCACAGGGACUUGUGUGAGCCUGCCUUGUCUGUCCCUCACUCCAGGGCUGCCAAGGUCUCCUGUGCAAAAGCCCCCAGAGCUGUCCCAGUGGUCCAUGAGAUGAUGAUCUGACUGAAAAGUAGCAGCAGAGAAAUAAGAUUCCUUUUCAAUCAAAUAAACUUGCAAAUGUUGCUGGCCUGGGAGAUGAGCACUGGAAGUGUGCAGGCAGUCAACAAAAUUAUGUGUUUAAUAAGACAUGGUUUUGUAACAGUUCUGAUAUAACAGUCCUUAAGCUAAAAGUUAUUAGAAAUGCUGAUGGGUUGUUAAAAAAUAAAAUAUUAAGACCUAAAAUUUAAAUGUGACAUUCACAUAAGCUUAGGCUUUGGUUGGCAAAGAUGUUAAUUAAAUGAGAUUUGCCUGCAUCCUUGCUUCAUGGCUGUCUUGUUGCAUCUAUUGAGUGACACUGAUAAAGCUGCUCUGUAGGAGCCCAGAAGAAAGUUCUGAUGGAAACAAAUCACUGUGUAAAAGAAAGCAAAAAAAACAAAAGAAAUCUCAGUUUUGCUGCUUCCUAAAGCUUUUGGAAGACUAGGUAUGUGAUCAGGAUUGCUGGUUAAUAGAGCUUAAUUAAUAAAGCUGGUUAUUAAAGCAGACCAAGAGUCCAGAAAUUUGCAGUGGAAAUUUUUCACCUCUGAUCCUGUAAGUGUCUGUACUUUUACUGUCUGACACAUCACCAUCCUUUUGGAGCAGAAGUCUGUUCUGGAUGAAUUUACAGCAAAUAUAUGGAGGCUUAAAAAGCCCAACAAACCCUCUUACAUUCUUCUGUGUAUUCUGCUGUUCCAGGGUAGUGAGUUAUUUCCAGGUGAGGUUUAGGAUGAUGAUAGCUGUGUGCUAGCACGCUGCUGCAGGAUCACACAGGGCUGUCUUCAUGAUAAACAAAACAAGUAACUUGGCUAUGAAACUUCCCUGAGGUGGAUAUUUGGCACUUGGAGGAUGGAUGGUGAAGAGCAGUGGCAGAGGUCUGGCUGGAUGUGCCUGUGCAUUGCCAAGGAAGAUGAAAACAUCAGCAGGAUCUGUAAUUCUCAUACACACAGCAGUCAGCCCUUAGCACCUCACCCUGAAUUAGCUGUGUGAACACUACAGAGCUGGUGCUGAGAGUGAGAACAUGACCAAGGGCACUGGUGGCCAUCAAAGUGGUCAGAUCAAGAGGAGACUUGAUAGUUGCUUUCUCUUUCCUUGUCCUUUACUAUUUUGUUGCUGCUUUUAACCUUCCUGAGGUGAUUCUUCUCUCCUUGAGCUGCCUCUCUCCAGCUCUCAAGGCUGCAGUUUCUCAGUGACCAAAGGCAAAGUGUGGCCAGCAGGACCAGGGCAGUGAUUGUCCCCCUGUGCUCAGAUUUGGGUUCUUUACUUCAAGAAGGACAUUGGAGCCUGUCUGAAGAACAGGAACAAAGCUGGGGAGGGAAGGAGCUGCCUGAGAGGAGACUGAAAUCAGGUGGGGGUUGGUCUCUUCUCACAGGUAAAAAUGCUAGGAGGAGAGGAAAUGACCUCAAGUUGUGCUCAGGGAAGUUUAGAUUCACUAUUAAGAAAAAUUUCUGCAUGCAAAGGAUGGCCAAGCAUUGGAACAGGCUGCCCAGAGAAGGGAUUGAGCCAACAGCCUUGGAGGUGUUUAAAAGACAUCUACAUGUGGCACUUAGGGACAUGCUUUUUUCUUGGUGAACAGUCUCAGGUGGUGCUGCAUCUUUUCCAUCAAGUUGAAUUGUUACGUUGUUGGCCCUGAUCACCUGGAAGAACUGUCUUUUUUGGUAAACUGAAAUAUCAGUUCUGGGAAAUGUCAUCUUGAAAUCCAGCAGUUGAGACAGCAAUUUGAGAAGCCUGGAAUGAAGACAAAUCCAAAAUCACUCCAGUGGAAACUCCAGUGGUGACAAUGGUUUCAGGAACAGUUCACUUGAAGCGAAAGCUGAGCUGUUAAUAGCAGCCCUCAAAUAUCUGCAAGUAUGACCCAAAGGGGAGAGUAAAUACUUUGGAACAGUGAGAUGAUGCUUCUGUAUCACUUGAGACAUGAACUGAUGAAGAAGGGUUUUAAUUGGCUUGAUGAACACUGCAAGCUUGUAUGUUUGUCUUGCUCUUUGGCAGACCAUACUUGGUGAAGGAAUUCAGUUGACUUUGAUGGGGCUUGACUGUUCUGGGUUAAAAACUGCAUGAAUUUUUUAAAGGCUUCCACAUCAACGUGGAGGAGGUGAUUGAAAGUAUAGAUCAUGGCUGUGCUGGAGCUCUGUAGGUAACUCCAGUGGAAGUGAGCAUCAUUGUUUUCCUUUUUGCCUCCUUAACAAGUUUAACUUUAUUUUUCCUACUUGCUUGUGAAAGGAAGAGGUACUAAUUAGGUGACUACAAAAGAAUGACAGUUCCUGCAGGAAUUAUCAUCUCUGAUGCAGAAUCAUAGAAUUGUUUAAGUUGGAAAAUACAUGUAAGAUCAUCAAGUCCAACCAUUAACCCAGCAUUGCCAAGCCCAUCACUAAGCCACGUCCCCACAUGCCACAUCCAUGUCUUUUAAAUUCCCCCAGGGAUAUCUCCAGGGUCUCAGGGCAUCAUAGUGAUCAGUUCUCUGCCUCUUUCAUGUCCUUUCUAGUUUGUUUUCCCUGGUCCAUUUUGUGGUUGUAAUAAACUUUACAUGUGUACAGUACCAGACAUUAUCUGGUUGACAAGAACAAUUAAGGCAACCCCACCACAGCUGGGUUUCACAGAUAUGCCUAAAAGUGGAUAUGGGAAUCCGUGAGGUAACUGGGCUGAGGUUUUCAAAGCAACAGGAGAAAUAAAAGGAUAUAAACAAACAAAUCCAAAUUUAAUUCAAGAUCCAGCAGUAUGUGUAAUACUGAUUUAAUUACAGGAUAUCUUUCAAACAUGUAACAGGGAGAGGUAGU